rnacentral:sRNA from 1 species
AUUGCUAUCCUGGAGAAUUAAGUCUUCCAUUUAUCGACAGGACACGUGCAGCUCUGGCACGAGGGGUGUAAAUUCCCCACUGGCUCCUGUCAAUGCUCCCUGCCCUGCUGGGGAGGAGCACAUGUAGAGAGGACGGCUAGCAGGAAGGGAGAAAGGUUUCAUGAUCCCAAGAAAUAUAUCUUCU